GGAAAGUGAAGAUUUUGCAUCCUCUUUAUUAUGCCAAUAGAACAUUAAAUGAAGCUCAAGCAAAUUACACCACAAUUGAAAAGGAGUUGUUUGCUAUUGUUUUUACUUUUGAUAAGUUUCACUCCUACCUUGUUGGUACUAAAGUCAUUGUUUACAUUAAUCAUGCAGCUAUUAAAUAUCUGAUUGAGAAGAAGGAUGUAAAACCAUGCUUGAUAAUAUGGAUACUAUGAAAUCCCACAUUGAGUAAGAGGAUAACUGUCACGACCCGGUACUCCCCUCGAGCUUGUGACAACCGCCUCGACUUCUCGAUAGACAUUCAUUGCCCGGAAUGCCAACCGGAACCUCACAAGGCUUUAAUAUCAGUUUUUGCACCUCCCCUAUGAGCAACAGUUGUUAAGUAUUAUAUUUUGAGAGAUUAUAAACUAUUUCCAAAUCAAAACAAUAGAAAAAUAAUUUUUUCUCAUAAAGGGCAUUUUGGUCAUUUUUCCUCAAAAAUCUCGAAACCAGCUAAAAAUAUAGUAUGCGAGUGGAAAACACAUAUUUCAUAAUCAAAAAUAAGUUUAGAUGUCUAAAACAUUCAUUUAAAAUGAAACUAUAACUAUUUGAAUAAAAUAAAAAUAUUUAAUAAAAUAUUCUAUUUUCUUAUAAAACAAUAUUUAUAGAGUUACCGGUAAAUAAUUUUUAUAGCGUAAAAGCUAAAUAAAUUCAUACAUACUGUAAUACAGAUAACCAAAGCAUAAGAUUUAAUUUACAAUGACACAUGGGCCCACGAACGACUAAAAGUAAUGAAGGCUAUGAACCUACAGUUUUUGAGGAUGCAAGUCCAAUUGUAGCCCUCAACGAAAUGAGCUAUCUACCAACUAUCCUGAGCCUAAAAGGGGUGGAAAGGAGGGUGGUGAGAUUAUACAAUCCCAAUGAGUAAACAAAUACCAUCUAAAAUAUCUAAAGUUGAGUAAAUGGAGACAGAUAAAAUCGAUUAACAUAAAAAUGAUCCACAACAUUUCGCACUUAUUUUAAUAAGAUAAAAUAGAUUCAUUUCACCCAAAUAAAUAAUGAGGCUUAUGAUUUCUUGAAAAGUAUGGCUUGUGCCAAAAUCAUUCUCAUACUCAGUUAUCAGGGAUACCUUGGCCUGGGGCUAUCCCAACCGAGUCCGCCAAGGCUAUUAAAAAAAAAUCAUGUAUGCAUAAAUCAUGUUUUUGUUUUGCAAACAUAGCCGUUCCUUGGUGAUGGCUGAGUUCACCCUCACGUGGUGGUUUGGCAUGAAGUGAACUCUAAAGUUGUACCUCGGGAGUUACCCUACGUGCCUCCACAAUCGAGGUAAGAAUAUAACAGGAUUCCGUGCCCCUCAAAAAGGCUGAUCCAUAAAACCCGCCCACUGUAACAAGCUAAACCCACAAUACAAUAAAAUUUGCAAUAGCAUGACAUAGAUUUUCAUACAUUUUCAGCCUCUCAAGGCAAAUCAACAAUUCAUACAUUUUCAGCACAUUUACCAAUUCAACCAUUCAUGCCAAUAUUAUCAUAAGCCAUUCAAUUCAAACCAUGAUUUAUAACACAUCAAUUAGUCUCCAAUUACUCCAUUUUCAAAACCAUCAUUCAAUUUCAAGACAAUUUUAUAAAAUCAUUUCAUUUAAUCACAUUUUGCUUAUAAAACAUAAAGAUUUACCAUUUAAACUAAUUUUUCUAUCAAAUCACAAAAACAAAUAAAAACUACUUUAGAUAAUUAAGACGAUAAUAAGGUUACUCACUAUUUCGAGAGUCGAAUUUCGAGUACUCCGAUUCUUGAUCCUCGGGUACUAUCUCUUUACUUUUGCCAGAAAGCUCACCACUUAGACAUAAUGCACAAUAAGCCAUUUACUACGUUUAUGCUAAACCGUUGUAAAACCAAUUCAGGCUUUGUACUAAUGCAUGAAAUGAGAUGUGAAAUACUCGGGCAACUAUCUAAAUACAGUGUUCAAUAUAAAUUCAAUUAUGUACCUUAAUAAAAUGGUAUUGGCCUAAUUCGAUCUAUCACUCGAUUAAUUGGCCAAUAUGUCCAAUUUAACUCCAAUUAACUCCAUUUUUCUUCCAAUUCUCCAAACCCUCAAACACAAGUCAAAUAGCAUAAAAUUUAGCAAAAUCAUCUUCACAUUUUCUCUUGGGAAUUUCGGCCAUGGUGGGUGCAUCAAUACUAUGAUUUUUCCUACUUGAUUUUCUCACCGUAAUUCAUCAUUUCCUAACAAAUUCACUUGAAAUAAAAUCAAAAUCAUCAUCACAUUUCACAUGGAGAAUUCGACCAAUGAGGGUUAUGGAAGAACAUGAAUUUUUCUUAUUGGCUUUUCAUGCUGCACAUCACUAACUAACUAAAAACACUAAAAUACAUUGAAAUCUAACCAAAUCAUGCAUCAAAACCUCCCUCCAAGUGUUCAGCCAGCAAGGGAUUCAUCAUGAUUUCAUGUGAUUCAACCAUGGAAAAUAAGAAAAAAUGCUUAAGAAAGGGAGAUCUCAAGCUUAAUUGAAAAAAUCUUACCUUUUUUCACUUGUUUCCUUGUAUUUUGACACUUUUCCCUUGAAUUUUUCCGCCUACGGUUUUGUUCUUCCUUUUUCUUGCUUCUCCUUGGUGAGGCCGAC
rnacentral:lncRNA from 1 species